rnacentral:rRNA from 1 species
AUUGAACGCUGGCGGAAUGCUUUACACAUGCAAGUCGAGCGGCAGCACGGGGGCAACCCUGGUGGCGAGCGGCGAACGGGCGAGUAAUACAUCGGAACAUGCCCAGUCGCGGGGGAUAACACUUCGAAAGAAGUGCUAAUACCGCAUACGUCCUGAGGGAGAAAGCGGGGGAUCUUCGGACCUCGCGCGAUUGGAGUGGCCGAUGUCAGAUUAGCUAGUUGGUGGGGUAAAGGCCUACCAAGGCAACGAUCUGUAGCUGGUCUGAGAGGAUGAUCAGCCACACUGGGACUGAGACACGGCCCAGACUCCUACGGGAGGCAGCAGUGGGGAAUUUUGGACAAUGGGGGCAACCCUGAUCCAGCCAUUCCGCGUGAGUGAAGAAGGCCUUCGGGUUGUAAAGCUCGUUCGGCAGGAACGAAACGGCGAGCUCUAACAUAGCUUGCUAAUGACGGUACCUGAAGAAGAAGCACCGGCUAACUACGUGCCAGCCGCCGCAGUAAGAC